GAAUUUGACAAUGUUGUCAUGAGUAAAGAUAGCAAUAAAAAGAUUAUAAUCGGUCAUCUCAACUCAAUUGCUUUUUUUGCUUUUGCUGUACCGGCUCAAACAAGAAAAUUAAUCUCAUUGAGAUGAUCAACCAUAAUCACAUUUGGUCUCAGGGUGAGUUAUCUCCUUAGCAAUCAUACAAGUUUCAAGUUGAUCAUCAAGAACUACUUUGACCAAAAUCUAACCUAAAGUGGGACAGAUGGAAAUCAGACAAAGAAACGAAAGUGCAGACUGAAGAAAGAUUUCUUUAGUUCAGGUAUAAUUUUUGAUUUCCCUUAUUUAUCUUGAUAC